CUGUACCGAAGGUGGAGUUGUAGGACGGAAGAUCUCUGCCAUAAUGACCCACAUGGAACAUGAUGCCGGCGAACUGUCUGUGUAUGAACUUCAGCGACUUGAACAUCAGAGAGAAGGUUUUUUUGUCAUCUUUGAAGAUUUCACAAGCAUGUGGACAUGCAGCAGAGGAUCUCCGGACUCGGGAUGCAAGUGAGGCCAAAGCAAGAUAAUGAAGACCUUGAAUGCAGACAGGCCUAGGCAGACACUGCUGAGAAGACCAUGGGCAUCUACACAGUCCGGACAGAGGGUGAUGGUCUAGGUGAUGCAUGUUUUGAAGAUGUCU